CGCCCGCUCAGAAACUUAAAUAGAAUUGACGGGGGCCCGCGACAAGCGGUGGAGCAUGUGGUUUAAUUCGAUGAUACGCGAGGAACCUUACCUGGGCUCAAAUGUAUGUUGACGUAUUCUGAAAGGGAUACUUCUUCGGACAAUAUACAAGGUGCUGCAUGGUUGUCGUCAGCUCGUGCCGUGAGGUGUCGGGUUAAGUCCCAUAACGAGCGCAACCCCUAUCAUUAGUUGCCAUCAGGUCAAGCUGGGGACUCUAAUGAAACUGCCUACGCAAGUAGUGAGGAAGGUGGGGAUGACGUCAAAUCAGCACGGCCCUUACGUCCAGGGCUACACACGUGCUACAAUGGCCGAUACAGAGGGCAGCUACCUGGUGACAGGAUGCAAAUCUACCAAAGUCGGUCUCAGUUCGGAUCGGAGUCUGCAACCCGACUCCGUGAAGUUGGAUUCGCUAGUAAUCGCGCAUCCUAGCCAUCGGCGCGGUGAAUAACGUUCCGGUCCUU
rnacentral:rRNA from 1 species